rnacentral:rRNA from 1 species
UACGGAGGGUGCAAGCGUUAAUCGGAAUUACUGGGCGUAAAGCGCACGCAGGCGGUUUGUUAAGUCAGAUGUGAAAUCCCCGCGCUUAACGUGGGAACGUGCAUUUGUAAACUAGGCAAGCUAGAGUCUUGUAGAGGGGGGUAGGAAUUCCAGGUGUAGCGGUGAAAUGCGUAGAGAUCUGGAGGAAUACCGGUGGCGAAGGC